rnacentral:lncRNA from 1 species
ACACAAGCGUCUCUUGGCUGGAACACAAGCAUCUUACGACUGGAACACAAGCGUCUUACGACUGGAACACAAGCGUCUUACGACUGGCACCAAUGUCUUACGACUGCUACCAAGCGUUACUCGGCCCCACCAAGCGUCACUCGGCCGGAACACAAGCCUUUUUCCGCUGGAACACAAGCCUUUCUCCGCUGGAACCAAAGCGUCCCUCGGCUGGCACCACAGUGUUUCUCCGCUGGAACCCAAGCCAGGACCUUUGUCCAGCUUCGCUCUUAUAUAGCGCUGCCCUCUCCAUCUUUUCUCCCAGAACGGCUGUUAUUGUCUCUUACACAAUCGAUCUAACAGGGAGAGGUCCUCAAGUG